rnacentral:rRNA from 1 species
CAGCAGCCGCGGUAAUACGUAGGGUGCAAGCGUUAAUCGGAAUUACUGGGCGUAAAGCGUGCGCAGGCGGUUAUAUAAGUCUGAUGUGAAAGCCCCCGGCUCAACCGGGGAGGGUCAUUGGAAACUGGGAAACUUGAGUGCAGAAGAGGAGAGUGGAAUUCCACAUGUAGCGGUGAAAUGCGUAGAGAUGUGGAGGAACACCAGUGGCGAAGGCGACUCUCUGGUCUGUAACUGACGCUGAGACGCGAAAGCCAGGGGAGCGAACAGGAUUAGAUACCCCCGUAGUCCCUGUCUCUUAUAC